UACAGAGACUGCAAGCGUUAUUCGGAUUCACUGGGCGUAAAGGGUGCGCAGGCGGUCGGGUGUGUCAGAUGUGAAAUCCCGAGGCUCAACCUCGGAACUGCGUCUGAAACUACUCGACUAGGGUACUGGAGAGGGUAACGGAAUUCACGGUGUAGCAGUGAAAUGCGUAGAUAUCGUGAGGAACACCAGAGGCGAAGGCGGUUACCUGGACAGUUACUGACGCUCAGGCACGAAAGCAUGGGGAGCAAAAGGG
rnacentral:rRNA from 1 species